rnacentral:rRNA from 1 species
GAUGAACGCUGGCGGCGUGCCUAAUACAUGCAAGUCGAGCGAACGGACGAGAAGCUUGCUUCUCUGAUGUUAGCGGCGGACGGGUGAGUAACACGUGGAUAACCUACCUAUAAGACUGGGAUAACUUCGGGAAACCGGAGCUAAUACCGGAUAAUAUUUUGAACCGCAUGGUUCAAAAGUGAAAGACGGUCUUGCUGUCACUUAUAGAUGGAUCCGCGCUGCAUUAGCUAGUUGGUAAGGUAACGGCUUACCAAGGCAACGAUGCAUAGCCGACCUGAGAGGGAAAUCGCCACACUGGAACUGAGACACGGUCCAGACUCCUACGGGAGGCAGCAGUAGGGAAUCUUCCGCAAUGGGCGAAAGCCUGACGGAGCAACGCCGCGUGAGUGAUGAAGGUCUUCGGAUCGUAAAACUCUGUUAUUAGGGAAGAACAUAUGUGUAAGUAACUGUGCACAUCUUGACGGUACCUAAUCAGAAAGCCACGGCUAACUACGUG